ACUCCUACGGGAGGCAGCAGUGGGGAAUAUUGCACAAUGGGGGAAACCCUGAUGCAGCCAUGCCGCGUGUGUGAAGAAGGCCUUCGGGUUGUAAAGCACUUUCAGUAGGGAGGAAGGUAGUGUAGUUAACACCUGCACUAUUUGACGUUACCUACAGAAGAAGCACCGGCUAACUCCGUGCCAGCAGCCGCGGUAAUACGGAGGGUGCGAGCGUUAAUCGGAAUUACUGGGCGUAAAGCGCAUGCAGGCGGCCUGUUAAGUCAGAUGUGAAAGCCCGGGGCUUAACCUCGGAAUUGCAUUUGAAACUGGCAGGCUAGAGUCUUGUAGAGGGGGGUAGAAUUUCAGGUGUAGCGGUGAAAUGCGUAGAGAUCUGAAGGAAUACCAGUGGCGAAGGCGGCCCCCUGGACAAAGACUGACGCUCAGAUGCGAAAGCGUGGGGAGCAAACAGGAUUAGAUACCCUGGUA
rnacentral:rRNA from 1 species